GUUCCCUUCAACUUUAACAUGGGAAUGCUUUCUGUCUCAUCUAAGAGUAAGUGCUUCCAUGUUUUAGUAGAAGU
ensembl:miRNA